ACGCUCGACACCUACGGGAGCAGCAGUAGGGAAUCUUCCACAAUGGGCGCAAGCCUGAUGGAGCAACACCGCGUGAGUGAAGAAGGGUUUCGGCUCGUAAAGCUCUGUUGUUGGAGAAGAACGUGCGUGAGAGUAACUGUUCACGCAGUGACGGUAUCCAACCAGAAAGUCACGGCUAACUACGUGCCUAGCAGCCGCGGUAAUCUGAGCGGGCUGGCAAGGC
rnacentral:rRNA from 1 species